GACGAACGCUGGCGGCGUGCUUAACACAUGCAAGUCGAACGGAAAGACCCUGCUUUUGUGGGGUGCUCGAGUGGCGAACGGGUGAGUAACACGUGAGUAACCUGCCCUUGACUUUGGGAUAACUUCAGGAAACUGGGGCUAAUACCGGAUAGGAGCUGCUGCUGCAUGGUGGGGGUUGGAAAGUUUCGGCGGUUGGGGAUGGACUCGCGGCUUAUCAGCUUGUUGGUGGGGUAGUGGCUUACCAAGGCUUUGACGGGUAGCCGGCCUGAGAGGGUGACCGGCCACAUUGGGACUGAGAUACGGCCCAGACUCCUACGGGAGGCAGCAGUGGGGAAUAUUGCACAAUGGGCGGAAGCCUGAUGCAGCAACGCCGCGUGCGGGAUGACGGCCUUCGGGUUGUAAACCGCUUUCGCCUGUGACGAAGCGUGAGUGACGGUAAUGGGUAAAGAAGCACCGGCUAACUACGUG
rnacentral:rRNA from 1 species